AGUGUCUUUGGCUUUGCUGAUAUUUGCCCGGCAGAUUUGAUCCCUCCCAAACAUUAAAAAAUCGGAUAAUUUGUCUCAGAAUUAGGUACAGAAUGACAGAACUGCAGAGAUGGCUAGGUUGAUGUGCUAGUUAGACGAUGCGAAACAGGAAAUUGCAGUUGCUGUUAACAUGGAAUUGGAACAGAGGAUCAGGAGAUAUUUCCCCAGAUGUUACUCUUCCAGAUGCAAAGAGUUUGGUCCAGAUUAACAAUGAAACUGUGGAGAAGUUGUUACAAGUUCAAGCAUCCAUGGGGAUGACAGUCACUAUGAUAGAUACUGCAAUGGUCAAGACUCGAGGCUGGUGAAGUUGAGAGAAGAACACCUGAUCAAAUACUCUGCUGCUCGGGGCAUGAACCAGGCUCAGAUGAUGGCCAAACCUGUCUUAGCUUGUAGAGAAAAAGCUCAGCUCCUUCUCUCACCCCAAGCAACUGUACAGUGUGAGAUGUCUCACCUGAAGACAAGGGAUAAGUCACAAAGAAACUGUGCUGCAUCAACUGACAAGAUCUACAUCAGGAAGGACAUCUGAAGUCCUCUGACCGCCACACCAACCUUCGUCACAGGCAGUGUCCUGGCAGGAGGUUAUAUGAAGAGUCCACAGAGCACGAGGCAAGGUCUGUUUGAUCAAGGCAUCCUUUUGAAUGUUCAUAUGACAUCAUCGGCACCAUCCUUGGAUUCGACCACAGAUCUCAGCUUUUAAGUCAUUGUUGUCAUGCCAAUAUGAACAAGAAGAAAGAAGAGGGCACUACUCAUUUACAAUAGAAAAUGAGCAAAAUGCGAUUUGUUCCAAAAUCGGAUCGCGAACAGUCGUAAGGUGUGCGGUGGCCUUAAGACCCUGCGAAUCAUAUCGAUUGAUGACCAGGAUGUACAAGAAGGGGACAAUGUCUCAAAUGCUUUUGAUGCUCUUACCAAGGCAUUCAAUACAUCUGGGGACUUGGAAGCAGGGGGUUUAAGUCCUUAAAUUAGGUGCCAAUCUGCAAAGCUGCCACCUCAUCUACUAAAUCCUCAACACAACGCACUCUCUGGCAACACACCACCCAUGGGGGCAUACCUCACACCUCAACCCCAGGCCAUUGGUUUGUAUUAAACAAACCUGGAUGGCAUUCAUCAUCAGAGGGAUGCAACUUCUUCUAACCUGCAGUCUUGGCCCAGCAAGAAGGAGACGUGAACAAGCCAGGAUGACGUGAUCGGAGGGAUGUAACUUCAUUCAACCUACAGUCUUGGCCCAGCUGGAAGGAGACAUUGGUUCGUACAAACAAGCCAGGAUGACGUGAUCAGACGGAUCCUACUUCACUCCACCUGCGGACUUGGCCCAUGGAGAGAAAUAUUUCAGGGGGUAUCUCACUGAGCAGUGAAUGUUUUUAAAUGUUGGGAAUCUGAGAUUCACCAACUUUUCUGACGAGUAAUGCAAACUCGUGCGAAUGUUUGUUAAUGACACCAAAAUCUAUUUGCGAUUGUGAACUACUUCAAAAUUGAAAUUAAUAUGUUUAUAAACAUUUGAUACAAAUUUGUUUAUCAGUGGGUUGAAUUUAUACAGGAGCCAACUGAUCGCUAGUAUAUUGGCAAAUCAAAAAGAACUUCAGCCACGCCGUCUUAUUACCAUUUGUAAAGGCAAAGAAAUUUUGAACAUGUUCAAAAUUUCUUUGCGAUGAGGAAAACAGUUUGCAACAAUGAAAAAUGUUUAAAGAACUUUCUUGCAAACUUUUAUGAACCCUGGUGGGUGUUUCAUAAAGCUGUUUUUAAGUUAAGAGCAACUUUAAGAAUGACUGGUGAACCUUUCUUACAUGCUAAAUAAUCACCAGUGAACAUUUAAUGGUGAAUAUCAUUUACCACAAGAAGGGAUCACUAUUCGUUCUUAAAGUCUAUCUUAAUUUACGAACAGCUUUAUGAAACAGUCUCAUCGUGAAAUCCCAAAUUCACUACAUUUGCAAGCAUUCACUGCUCAGAGAGGUUCCCCCUUUAUUGAUAUGUGAUUUGCCACCCCCAAUAACCAGCAGUGAGUCACCCAAUAUGAAUUUUGAGAAUUUAAUUGACCUUGAAAGAGCACAUUCAAAACUUGUCAAAAUUGAUAAAAAAUAACCCACACAGAAACUUGUGUGUAGAAGAAAUUCAGUGAGAGCUUCUGAAAAUAAGGAGAAAGCAAGAUUCGAAACACAAAGGUUUGCGGUGAAUUGCAAAUAUGAAAGAAUCGCACUGAUUGGUUCCCGGUCAAUAUUUUAAACAGAGUGCGCAUGCAACGAUGAUCUUGAUUGGUCAUUGGUAUUUAGCGAGUGAUUGCAAACCUUCGUGUUAUGGAGCCCGAGAUUCACUCAAGCAUGAGAUGUGCAUGUUGUGAUCUAGGUAAAACUUUGAAGCAGUCCAGAAUACAGUGGUGAAAAGCUUCUUUAUGUCAACUUAUUUUACAACUUCAUACUUUCCCCAGAGACAAUAUUGUUGGUUUUUGUGUGGCUGAUCACAUACAUGUAUACAUAUGUACAUAUAUUUACAUAUAUACAAUUUGAUAAAGACCUUAUGGUUGACUUUGUCAUUAUGGUAACUAGCAUGAAAAACCUUGAUUGUGAUUGGCUGCUAAGCCCUGUUACCACGGUAGUUACCAUAAUAACAAAGAUAUCAUUGUUGUAAUUCUUUACCCUCACUUGCCAUAUUUAUUAUCCCAUUUACACAAUUUAUGACAUGCGAAAAUAUGCGUUUUGAUUGACUAUAUGAUAUAUGAUUUGAGAAAUGGGACAGUUUCUACCUCUCUUUUAUACUGAAAUUUUGGCUUGAUUUGAAUGAUUCAGAACAAAAUGCUGCAAUGCAAAAUAAGUUAAUUUACCAAAAAUCUGGUUCAUCUGUAAAUAGGACCAUAUACACGGCAAGGGAGGGUAUUUAUGAAACUCCUUUUUAAAUAUAUUGAUAAAGACUUGUGUAUACCUCAAAAGAGCAGGUCCAAGCUAUUUCUUUGCUGACAGUUCAAAGUAUCUGUAUUAUCUGUUGUCUAUGUUAGUGGAGUUUAGGAGUUAACAUAAUUUGUAACUUUUUUGUGAAGAAGUUAGUAUUUUUUUAAACUUUGUUUUAAGCUAUUCUGCAAAAGUGGAUCCAAAGGUUUUCCAGAGUUUUUGCCUAUUGAGUUUUAUCUCUGGUUUUUUACCCUGGACCUACUUGUCGUAGAAUUGUUUAACACAAAGAUUCACCCCCCAACAUUUUCUGACAGUUCUGCAGCGCAAAAAUGAUUUUACUAGCCAAAUUUUUACUUUUAAAACUAAUGCAUCUUUUUUUAGACCAAAUUUACAAUGCCUGGGAAAAUUCCAAAAUGAUGCAAUAAUUUGAAAACUCAUGUCAGGCAAAUAAAUGCUCAAAAACUGAUUUUAUAUUCAAAGUUAAUGCUGAUGGAGUUUUCUUACGUUAUUCAUUAAGAUGCGAUUCCUUUCAUUUUCAUUAGCUGAAAUUAAUGUUAGCAUCAUAACACUUCAAAGUGUAUCUGCAGGGAACUAAAAAAUUAAUGAAAUGAUAUGCUGGUUGCAUUUUCAUUGCAACUAUUUUAGCAAAAUGUUGAGGGGUAUUUAAUGGUCAUUCAAUGUUUGAUGUGGUUUAUUAAUUAUUUUUUCUGCAACGCGAAAUUUGUCUGGCCAUCUCGUUUUCAUCCUAUAACUAAGAUGGAUCAACUUGAAAAUGACAUUGGUUGGAGUAACUUUUGGUGUCAUGGGGUCAAAGGUCACAGAUGUCAUUAUAUUCCUG